rnacentral:rRNA from 1 species
AGCACCACAACGGGUGGAGCUUGCGGUUUAAUUGGAUUCAACGCCGGAAAUCUUACCGGGACCGACAGCAAUAUGAAGGCCAGGCUGAAGACUUUGCCGGAUUAGCUGAGAGGUGGUGCAUGGCCGUCGUCAGUUCGUACUGUGAAGCAUCCUGUUAAGUCAGGCAACGAGCGAGACCCACGCCCACAGUUGCCAGCGUACUCUCCGGAGUGACGGGUACACUGUGGGGACCGCCGCUGCUAAAGCGGAGGAAGGAAUGGGCAACGGUAGGUCAGUAUGCCCCGAAUAUCCCGGGCUACACGCGAGCUACAAUGGUUGGUACAAUGGGUAUCUACCCCGAAAGGGGACGGGAAUCUCCUAAAACCAAUCUUAGUUCGGAUUGAGGGCUGCAACUCGCCCUCAUGAAGCUGGAAUCCGUAGUAAUCGCGUUUCAACAGAACGCGGUGAAUACGUCCCUGCUCCUU